AAACCGCAAGUGUGCAGCCGCUGUGCGCCCCCCGGGGCGCGCAGAGGAAAGUCCGAACUUCACAGGGCAGGGUGCCGGUCGAGAUGCCCGAAAGGGGAUCAAGCCCGGGUAUGGCGGCGCAAGCCGUCCAUAACAGAGAGCGCAGCAGAAAGCAGACCGCUCCGGGUGACCGGAGUAAGGGUGAAACGGCGGUGUAAGAGACCACCAGUCGUUCCGGCAACGGGACGAGCUAUGCAAACCUCCCCGAAGCAAGGCCGAAUAGGAAAGCUUUUCCCGCAAGGGAAAGAGGGCGGCCCGCCCGAUUCCGCAAGGAGAGUUUUCGGGUAGGCCGCAUUAGAUAAAUGGCUGCAGUUUUGCCCGGCCUGCCGGGUAAUCCACAGAAUUCGGCUUACAUCUUCGGUUUCGGC
rnacentral:RNase_P_RNA from 1 species